rnacentral:rRNA from 1 species
GAUCAUGGCUCAGGAUGAACGCUAGCGGCAGGCUUAACACAUGCAAGUCGAGGGGCAGCGCGGGGCGGCAACGUCCUGGCGGCGACCGGCGGAAGGGUGCGUAACGCGUGAGCGACACGCCCGUUGCCCGGGGACAACCGGUGGAAACGCCGACUAAUCCCCGAUGGGACGGAGGCCCUCAUGGGUCUCUGUUGAAAGUUACGGCGGCGACGGAUUGGCUCGCGUCCGAUUAGCUUGUUGGCGGGUACGCCACAG